AGUUGCCGAGCAGCACCCAUAGAGGUCUGUAGUCUAACACACAUUCUCCAGCAUGCGUCUUCUGUUUCUUUUAGUGUUGAUGGUUGCCGCCUGUAAUUCUCACUACUCUAAACCACCUGCAUUACCCACAGGAACUCAGCAGGUAUCACCUGUAGGUCCACCCCCUGAACAACUCCCAGGAUCCCAUUAUUCAGCACCUGGCCAGCACCCCGAACCCUCAUCAGAACGCCUCACAGGAUCAGUUUCUAGCCACCACAGAAGUGUACGCAGUACGUGGAACGGCUCCAAGCAGUCGUGCCUCUCGUGUAGUGAUGACUUAGGUCACCACGGAAAGGGGAUCUGUUGUCGCUGGUGGGGCUUGUGCUGCAGGAGUACCUCGGGUUAGCUCGCAGGUCGACUUUCUCCCUCUCCCCGCAGCACAGUGACCCGGGGGACCUGCUAAGUAACAACUAUGUGUCCCAGACCAAAUCAGAGGACAACGAUGAUGAUAGACCCUGACACCCUGAACAGCUCACCGAGUCCUGGAUAUUAUUUUUCUGUGAAUGAAGGGUGACUUACCUAUAAGCGCAUUUUUUCCCAGCUGAGAAAAGAUGCCCCGCCCCCUCCUCAAAAGUUACAGCUGAUUGGCUGUUGCAAACCUGUCCGAUUUUGUCCUGAAUAAGGAUGUGUUUCUAAAUGAGUUUAUUCAUAAUCGUUGGGAUGACCGUUUCUGAUGAGAAAGAUACUUCGCUAAAAUAUAUAAAGAUACAUACUGUACCUUCAUUAUUUCAAGCAUAAGCACGUUGGAAGUUUAUCAGAAGAAUUAUACGUGAAUUAACUGAUAAACUCGGAUAACAAAUUCACGCUUUCGGAGGAUGCAUUUAAUAUAUACUUAUUAUUUUUACCCCCAUUUACAUUUAUAAAAAAUAAGAAGAAACAGUCUGUGCUUUGAAGUUUGAGCUCGACAUCACCCACUAUCAAGUGAACAUAAUUUUGUAGACUAUAGGAGAGAGAUCUCAAAAAGAGACAUAUACCAUUGGAUAGAGGAGAAAAAAUUCUAUGGAUUAACGUUGGUUUCGUUAUAAAAGUCUAUGCGGGGGUGUUGUAUAGAAUUACCCUUAGUAUGAAUAACCACGAAUUCUUUUAAAAAUUAAUGUGGCUAAAAAUUACAUGUACCAUAGCAAUUUUUUUGUGUCUAAAGAUAUUUAUUAAAUCAAAUUCUUUAUCCUUUUCAUUAACCAAUAACAUGAAUGAUAAACUUGUUUCUUGCCAAUAUUCUCUCAGAAUGCAUCAUUGUUUACAUAUUAGUGUUAACAAUGUAAAUGGCGAAUAUACUGCAGUGAUAUUAAAUUUUACUAUCUGUAUAAUGACUACCAUGACCUCUUCUUGCACUGAGGAAUAUUAUAUACUAAUAUAAUUAAUAAAUACUAUCACUAUCA